AUAUGACUGAGGGAGAGGAAUCGAGGGAAGGAAGAAGUCUCUACCCACACUCCUCAAGGAGUGACUCGGGGGACAGUCUGAAUUACGGGACUUACCGCAGCAAGUAAACAUUGCCUGAGUGGAUUGCUGUGAAAUGCUUUAUCUGAAGAUGACACUGGAAAACACUCAUCAAUUACGGAGUCCUUGUAAAGCACCAAGAGUACCCUCAAAGCUAUUGUCCAGAAAAUUGCCACUCAGAGAAAAUGUGCAGAUUGUGUCACCUGUGUGAGACAUCACGCUACACACCGGCUACUUAGAGGUGAAGGGAAGGCCCACCUCGUUUCCAGGGAAGGACUCUGCAGGGAUGGGGAGAUGAAAAAGAUGAAACUUUGGGAGGAAAUGAAAUCAUGUGACCGACCUGCAAGGAGAACCCGGACCAGAACCCUAAACUCUUGACAGCUGGGCCAAAGCAUUCUCCAGCAUUCACUGCUUGAGAAGCAGGAUGCUCUGAGAAGCAGAAAAGAAGCAAACUCGGAAAAACCUACAAGAAGGAAGUCUGAGCCACAAGUACCCGCAAAGAUAACACAAUCUUAAAAGGGCAAGUGAAUUUGAUGUGCACGCGUAUAACGUGAAAAUAAGGCAGACCUGCUAAUGUUUAAGUGAUACUGAGCAGUGGCCAGUGCUGGCCCUCCAAGAAGAGGGAGGAGGCAUGAAGCAAAGCUUUCUUUGUCCUGAAGUUUCUUGUGCUGGAAAUCUAACGUUUACCUGGGGCAGAGGAAGUCUGUUUGGUCCCCCCUCUUGCAUGGACUGGGUCCCUCAGGGAGCAGACACAGGUACCACUGU